ACGUAGGGAGCGAGCGUUGUCCGGAUUUACUGGGUGUAAAGGGUGCGUAGGCGGGAUGGCAAGUCAGAUGUGAAAUGCCGGGGCUCAACCCCGGAGCUGCAUUUGAAACUGUCGUUCUUGAGUGAAGUAGAGGCAGGCGGAAUUCCUAGUGUAGCGGUGAAAUGCGUAGAUAUUAGGAGGAACACCAGUGGCGAAGGCGGCCUGCUGGGCUUUAACUGACGCUGAGGCACGAAAGCAUGGGGAGCAAACAG
rnacentral:rRNA from 1 species